CCUACGGGAGGCAGCAGUGAGGAAUAUUGGUCAAUGGACGGAAGUCUGAACCAGCCAUGCCGCGUGCAGGAAGACGGCUCUAUGAGUUGUAAACUGCUUUUGUCCAAGGGUAAACCUGAAUACGUGUAUUCAGCUGAAAGUACUGUACGAAUAAGGAUCGGCUAACUCCGUGCCAGCAGCCGCGGUAAUACGGAGGAUCCAAGCGUUCCCCGGUUUUAUUGGGUUAAAGGGUGCGUAGGCGGAUGGAUAAGUUAGAGGUGAAAAGUCCGAGCUUAACUCGGGAACCGCCUUUAAUACUGGUGGUCUAGAGAGUAGAUGAGGUAGGCGGAAUGUAUGGUGUAGCGGUGAAAUGCUUAGAGAUCAUACAGAACACCGAUUGCGAAGGCAGCUUACCAAGCUACUUCUGACGUUGAGGCACGAAAGCGUGGGGAGCAAACAGGAUUAGAUACCCUUGUAGUC
rnacentral:rRNA from 1 species